GCAGAGAGACGGGAAGAGAAAGAGGAAGAACUUUCCUGCCCCAACUAUAAAUGUAAAGGAAUGUAAAGAAAAAAUAGAAUAAGGAAAUGCAUUCCAGCAGUCAUGAGUUACCGUAAAUGUCAGCAAAUUAAACAAGGAUAUCUUUCCCCCAGAUGCUGAAAUUACAUAAGAAUCAUUCUUUGAUAAAGCAAAACAGGGUACAGCAUCUUCAUGAUUUGUGCCGGCAACAUCAUUUUUCAUCAGAAUGCCACUUGAAGGUCGCCACAACUGAGGUGGUACAGUAGCAGUUGCCUACAGAUUGAAGCAAUGAUAUAACUAUUACAGUAAAAAUUACCGUACAAGUCAUUUUAAAAUAUUCUUGUAUGACAAAAAGUUCACAAUGAUGAGUAGAAACUAUUUUGAUAUCCUUCCUCCUACCUUGCCAUUUGAAUUAAGAUCACUUCUCUGCCACUUCCAAAGCAAGUGAAUAGCAUUUGAUGCUAAUGCCAAAAUAGCAUUACCUGAAUUUGUGAAGAUUAACCUUGAUAUCUGAAAUAAUCACAGGAAAAGCUAAUAAGAUAGGGCCCAAAUAAAGAAGAUGAAUAAGUUGUCAUCAGAGUGAAUGGCCAAAAUUACAUUCAAGUCAUAAAGCAUUAUCACAAAAAAGGCUAGUUACAUUAAGGGGAAUUUUGAUAGGGAUAAGGUGCACUACAAAAAAAGAAACAGGUGAACAACAGUGUAUAAUUUCUGAACACUUACAGACAGCACAUUUUAUGCAAAUAUCAUGGGCAUUUAUUAAAUAAUUUGACUUCAAAUUAAAUAAUCUUUUAGAACCAGUUAAUUCAUUGUCAUGCUACCAUCAAAGAAGGUCUAGACCAGAACUUUAAAUCAGCAUCUUUCCUGUUACAGAAUAAUCAUUUUGAAACCAUUUAGUCUACAUCUACUUAUACAUCAUCUAGGACUGAGUGAUGUUAUGUAGCAUUUAGGUGAUGCAAAUUUACACUUAACUUCUCAAUAUCUUAAUAGAUCAUUCAACUACUAAAGAAUUACUUCUUAGUUAGUUCUUCAUUCGUCUAUUCUUAGUAACACAGGAUUAAAGAUAGUAGGAACCACAAUGAUGUGUUCAUUUCGUCAAGAUAGAUGUCAUCGCACUAAUACAUUUGGCUGCAUGAUUUGCUCCUCCUCUCAGAAGUGCAUUUCAUUUCAAUCUCUACUCUUUUUCUUAGAGACCAACAUAAGUGUAAACCAGGAUCCUAGACAGUUUCCUCUAGUGGAGAAACAAUUCAGAGCAAUGAUAUCUUAAAAUUGUCAGAUUUCUUAAAUCCAACCAAAGAUAAAAGUGAGAAGACUUGGAGAGUUUUUCUAGACAUGCAAGGUAGUUUUAAAAUGGUAACAAGUAAAUAAUAUGGACAAAAAUGUCAUAUUAUAAAUAUUAGAGGCAUUUUUCUGACGAUAGCACUUAGCAAAAAUCCAUAAUUGAGAACUAAUUGAUAUCGCACCUCUGAAUUACAAGGUGUUGCUUACGUUUCCUUAUUUAUAAUGCAAUCCACAGGACGCAUGAGAGAGCAAAGUAGCUAAAGCAGAAUCAUGAAAACCAUCAAAUUGGCUAAAGACAAAGUGUCAUUGAAACAGCCAAAACAUGCAGAAAAAACCAAACCAAUGACUCGGCCAGACAACAAAUAUAAUCAACUAGUCAACCUACCAGCAUGUUAUUAAAUCUAUGAAGCACAAAGCUAAUAUGAAAUUUUCUAUACCUUGGUUACCCUCGAGUUUUCAGGAAGCCUCAAGGAUCGACACUGAGAUGGUUCACUGAUUUCAGUGAGCUUCCAAACCUUUGAUUUAUCACUGGAUUCUUCCGAUAUUCUGGGUUCAACAUUCCCCAAACUCCAGGCAUCCCCAUUCUGAAAAAAGCAUAAUGCACAAAUCACAAAGUCAUGCACCCAGGCUCCACUAAUGACAGGAGAAACAAUGAUAACGUAACCAUAAUGCAAAAUGACGUUGAAGUGCUGGUGUGAUCAAAUUUUUUAUGUUGAUGAUGAAAAAAAUUAAAAAAAAAAAAAGAACAUUCAUGUCUAGCGAACCAUUGCAGCAAUAGUAACCACGGAGGCACCUCUGUCUGCAAUUCCAGCAGCAGUAGCGGCUGAGAUUGGAUUUAUUGUAGGCUGAGAAAACAACACAUCAGAAGACAAGAUUUAAUUUAGCAUCUGGACCUUGUAUAGCAAAUUUUAAUCUGCUAAUGAAACUAAAUGAGGUAAUAACACUACCUUGGGGGCUUCAGCUAACCUCCCUAGUCUGGUGAACUUCCGCCCUGAGUAAUUCUUAUGGUUGGGUGGUUAUUCUGUAAAUAACUUCUAUGAGAUUGGGAGACAGCUAUCUAUGUUUAUAAAAGGUGAAGUAGAUGUUUGAUGUAUUAGUAGAUGUGGGUGAUUGCAGGUGAUACAAACUCGGGUCCAGAACAAAGGAUUCCCAUGGAAGCAAGCCUGAAACAAACUCCGUAAAUAAAUGGAAGGGUGAUUCUGAAAUGAUCCCUUCAGGGGCUGCGCCAGAUAGAUAGAAGAAUGGAGAAAAUACUCUUUGGACUUUGGACUUUGGAAUUUGGAGGGUAUAAGAACAGUAUAUCAUGUACUGCUCUCGUCCAUGGAUGGCAUGCAAUAUACAUUCCGUGUUAAACGCACAUGAGGCUUUGUUUCCUAACCUUUUUCUCUGCUCCAUUACCGUUUUUAUGAAGAUGCGCGCUGGCGAAUGGUUGGGCAAUCCCAACUGUUUGAGGCUAAGGCCUAAUUGGACGAAUGCAGGGGUUGGGUGUUGAAUGCUUUGUGAUCAAAGGCUUACUGUUGAAGCCCCUCUGUUGCCUUGUUGGUUCAUUGCAGACUCUAUAGGGAUGCCAAUGGGUUUCAUCACGUCCCAACCCAGACAUUUGUUUGUUUUAUGUUUAUAUAUAUAUUUACUUCAAUUAUAUUUAGCUCGUGACCGGAGUUUCAUGAUCGUAUGCCGUCGUGGUAUGCUACAACACUUGUUCUGCAGUGAUACCGUCUCUCUUGUUCAGAUACUACAACUGAGUCUGACAUGAAGCAUCCCAAAAACAAACUGGCAAAGGACUAUGUUGUCGAAUCCUUGGACAAUAAAAAGGUCACCAGCCAAAGUUGAUGACAACAAAGAGAACACUGGUUUGUGAAAAUUGUAAAUGUUAUACAUAAAAAGAACAUUGCCAUUUAUGGAAAAGGGAAGGGGAGGGGGGUGAAUAUAGAAGACAAACAACUACAACAGCAAAGAAAAUCCUUCCUUCCAAGAAUUUCUACCCUCCAAAAGGGCAUAAGAAAACACUUGAAACUAUCAAAUACUAGUAUGACAUUUACCUUAGAUUGUAUCUGACAAAAUAUGUUAAAUCUACAUCUUUGCAUAUUGUUCUCAGAUCACAUAUCUUGAUUGUCAAGCUGCAAAAUUUUACAAGGAAAAAGAUUGGAUAAGUAAGGAGAGAGCAGCAAGAAAGCAACUGCCAAAUUAAAUUUUAUAUUAACCUUCUAGGAGGUGGGAGGCUUAACUUGGUACAAUUCCCAAAUUCAUAAUUGUUAGACAAAAUGAAUUACAAUACAACUUCAAAGAGAUUUGUAACGGUCAUUAUCAAUUGGGCACUGCUACCUUCUAGUUAAGCAACCAGACAAACCAAAAGGGUUUUGUCCUGCUGCUUCAAUAAGCACCACCAACUGUUACAAUGACCCAAAUUCAGCUCUAAUUCGGAAAUGGUGAACAACCCAGGUGUUGGAUCAACUAGUUUGGGAUGUCUCUCUUUCAUCAAUACUGUUCUUAACAAAUUAGAUACUGGAAAAGCAUACCUAAAUUAGGGACGGGCAUGCAAGCCAAGCAUAUAAAAGAACUUGUGCUCAGGCAGCCAUUUCAUCAUCUCUGGGCUUGUUCUGGUCCCGGAGCUCCAACUGAAGGUGUUGCUGCCACACUGCUGGCCGACCCAUUUUCAACUGGUGGAGGCACGCCCCAUUUAUUUUCAGAUUCAAGGGGCUCAAAGACAUGAACCCCGCCAUCUGAGAGUCCCAAUGCAAAUUCAUUUGGCUCUGAUGGAUGUGCAGCAAUUACAAGUGGGUGAACAUUGGAACUGCAACAUAGAGGAAAACACCAUCUUUAAAUAAGAACGGUUAUCGCAGAUGGGGAGGGUAGAGAGCAUUCUAAAUUCAAAUGAGAACUUGUAAAGCUGAGAGGCAAAUAAAAGUUGCACAUGAAUUACAGUUGGGAUUGACUUAUACCCCAUAUAGCCUACGCUAAUAACACAAGCUUCAAACACUAAACUGCAUUGAUGAUACCAGAGAGGGAGAAAGAGAACAAAAAAAGCUAAAGGCAAUCCAAGUCUAGACUAGAGUUUGUACGGCAAAAUGUAAUCAUACUCCUCUUCCAACAGUUUUUAAGAUUUUUGUAAUUUAAAACCGCAACAUGCAAUCCAGUGCAUCAAAGUGUGCAUGUCAUUGAAUACUUUGUACCCAAAAUUUAUGCUUGAACCAAGCUUUAAGACCGUCUAAUCAUACCAAAACCAAAUACCUGAGUCAAGCAAAGGAGGGAAAAUACCUGAUACUAGCAGGAAGAUAAGCAGAAGGAUUUAUACGACAACGUAGUCUGAGGUUCGCAGCACUAAACACACAGACAGUUGCAUCUAGAAAGCUGGCAUAUACCAGUUGGCUAUCACAUGAGAAUGUUGCAUGAGUUAUUGGUGCAGAAGAUUCACGUGGGACCCACUAAAACAAAGAAGAAAUAUUAGAACAUCAAAGCAACAUGAUAUCGUUUCACAUCAAAUCAAACAACAAUAUAGAGCUACCUGCUUCACACAUUCUAGCUUUGUUGUUUCAUAUAUUGCAAGCUGAGUCUCAUGUACAACAAGAAAAUGUAUCUGGUCCUGAUGGAAUUGUACUCGCGUGUCUGACUGUGCCAUUGGGGUCCUCCCAGCUGAAACCUGCAAGAAUCUGGCCUUCUGCUUUUCCCAUCCAUCAGUGUUCCAUACGCAAAGCUGGAGAAAGAAUGGUAAUGUGAUCAAUGAACCAAAAUCAAUUUUUUAUGGAUGAUAAUACUGCAACUUCCUAAUUGAUCGGUCAAUUAGCUAAGGAAUCCAGAAGCAGCAAACAAUUGAUGAAACUUCAUUAUCAUGGAGCAGUCAACUAAGGCAACACCAAGAAGAUUCAUUGGAAGAAACAAAUCACGUAAUCUAGCCAUGUACAAAUUCUGUCACAGAAAUAAAACUCAGAGGAAGCUAAUUCAUUGUAGCAUGCAUGUAAAAUAAAAAAUGAAUACCUGAGAAUCUGCUCCUGAUGAGACAAGCACAUUCAGUACAUGAGAGAAGGCCAGGCCAGUUAUUCUUUUGGAGUGGCCUUUAAGUUUACUCUUCACCUGGAUGAUGAAAAUGAUAAAUAAAUAACAAUUGUUACUUCUCCAAAUGAGAGUUAAAUGUCCACAACAUGCAUCAUACCUCGUCCACACGGACAUUAUAUAUCUGAAUUGUUGAAUCAUCCAUGCCUAUAGCAAUAAUAUUAUUAUCUUGUGGGUGGAAUGCAAGAAAAGUUGCUGCUGGCGGCGGUGGCAUGAAAGUUGCCAUUGUCUGCAUGUGUCAAUAAAAAAUCAUAUGCUUAAAUCAUUGACAAAUGCAGAGAGAAGGAAAAGGGAGAGGAAGAUCUUUCUUGUCCCAACUAUAAAUGAAAAGAAAAAAUGGAAAAAGGAAACUCAUUCCAGCAGUCAUGGAUUACCUUAAAUGUCAUCAUAUUAAACAAGGAAAUCUUUCCCCCAGAUGCUGACAUUACAUAAGAAUCAUUCUUUGAUAAAGCAAAACAAGGCACGGCCUCUUCGGGAUUUGUGUCAGCAACAUCAUUUGUCAUCAAAAUGCCGCUUGAUGGUUGCCACAACUGAGGUGGUACACUAGCAGUUGCCU
rnacentral:lncRNA from 1 species